UAGCUAACAUAUUAGCUAACAUGUUAGCCAACAUAUUGGCUAACAUGUUAGCUAAUAUGCUAGCUA